GUGAACUGCGAAUGGCUCAUUAAAUCAGUUAUAGUUUAUUUGAUGGUACCUUGCUACAUGGAUAACUGUGGUAAUUCUAGAGCUAAUACAUGCAAUCAAGCCCCGACUUCCGGAAGGGGUGUAUUUAUUAGAUAAAAAACCAACGCGGUUCGCCGCUCCAUUGGUGAUUCAUAAUAACUUCUCGAAUCGCACGGCCUUGUGCUGGCGAUGCUUCAUUCAAAUAUCUGCCCUAUCAACUUUCGAUGGUAGGAUAGUGGCCUACCAUGGUUUCAACGGGUAACGGGGAAUAAGGGUUCGAUUCCGGAGAGGGAGCCUGAGAAACGGCUACCACAUCCAAGGAAGGCAGCAGGCGCGCAAAUUACCCAAUCCCGACACGGGGAGGUAGUGACAAUAAAUAACAAUAUAGGGCUCUUAUGGGUCUUAUAAUUGGAAUGAGUACAAUUUAAAUCCCUUAACGAGGAACAAUUGGAGGGCAAGUCUGGUGCCAGCAGCCGCGGUAAUUCCAGCUCCAAUAGCGUAUAUUAAAGUUGUUGCAGUUAAAAAGCUCGUAGUUGAACUUCAGACCUGGCCGGGCGGUCUGCCUAACGGUAUGUACUGUCUGGCCGGGCCUUACCUCUUGGUGAGCCGGCAUGCCCUUUACUGGGUGUGUCGGGGAACCAGGACUUUUACCUUGAGAAAAUUAGAGUGUUCAAAGCAGGCCUACGCCCGAAUACAUUAGCAUGGAAUAAUAAAAUAGGACGUGCGGUUCUAUUUUGUUGGUUUCUAGAGUCGCCGUAAUGAUUAAUAGGGAUAGUUGGGGGCAUUAGUAUUCAGUUGCUAGAGGUGAAAUUCUUGGAUUUACUGAAGACUAACUACUGCGAAAGCAUUUGCCAAGGAUGUUUUCAUUAAUCAAGAACGAAGGUUAGGGGAUCGAAAACGAUCAGAUACCGUUGUAGUCUUAACAGUAAACUAUGCCGACUAGGGAUCGGGCGAACUCAAUUUUAUGUGUCGCUCGGCACCUUACGAGAAAUCAAAGUCUUUGGGUUCUGGGGGGGAGUAUGGUCGCAAGGCUGAAACUUAAAGGAAUUGACGGAAGGGCACCACCAGGAGUGGAGCCUGCGGCUUAAUUUGACUCAACACGGGGAAACUCACCAGGUCCAGACAUGACUAGGAUUGACAGAUUGAUAGCUCUUUCAUGA
rnacentral:rRNA from 1 species